rnacentral:pre_miRNA from 1 species
UUAAUACUCCCUCCGUCCCAAAAUUCUUAUCUUAGAUUUGUCUAAAUACGGAUGUAUCAAGUCAUGUUUUAGUAUUAGGUUCAUCCGUAUCUAGACAAUGUAAGACAAGAAUUUUGGGACAGAGGGAGUAUUAA